AUGGUUGAGCAAAUUCCAUACGGUGUUGCUACAAGUUUCGUUAACAGGCUUAAGAACACAGUUGAAUCUAUUAGAGCUGUGCUCCUUGAUACCGAGGAGAAACAAGAAGCACAUAAUCAUGCUGUACGAAUUUGGUCUAGUGGAAAUCAUAAUGUCUCGUUGGUUGUUAUUGUUGGGAUCGGUGGGUUAGGAAAGAUAACUCUUAGCUCAAUUGGUAUAUAA